rnacentral:tRNA from 1 species
GGAGAAGUAGUUCAGUGGUUAGAACAUUUGUUUGUCAGACAAGGGGCCGUGGGUUCGAAUCCCAUCUUUUCC